rnacentral:rRNA from 1 species
AUUGAACGCUGGCGGCAGGCCUAACACAUGCAAGUCGAGCGAGCGGCGGACGGGUGAGUAAUGUCUGGGAAACUGCAUGAUGGAGGGGGAUAACUACUGGAAACGGUAGCUAAUACCGCAUACCAUCAGAUGUGCCCAGAUGGGAUUAGCUAUUAGGUGGGGGAAUGGCCCACCUAGGCGACGAUCCCUAUAUGGUCUGAGAGGAUGACCAGCCACACUGGGACUGAUACACGGUCCAGACCCCUACGGGAGGCAGCCGUGGGGAAUAUUGCACAAUGGGCGCAAGCCUGAUGCAGCCAUGCCGCGUGUGUGAAGAAGGCCUUCGGGUUGUAAAGCACUUUCAGCGGGGAGGCGUUACCCGCAGAAGAAGCACCGGCUAACUCCGUGCCAGCAGCCGCGGUAAUUC